GACGAAACGCUGGCGGCGUGCUUAAAUACAUGCAAGUCGAACGGAAGUAGCAAUACUUUAGUGGCGCACGGGUGAGGAACACGUAGAUGAUCUGCCCUUGAGAUCGAGAUAACCCCGGGAACUGGGGCUAAUACCGGAUAAUGCAUUAUUAUUGGAUUAAUAAUGUUAAAGCGGCGCAAGUCGCACUUGAGGAUGAGUCUGCGACCUAUCAGCUAGUUGGCGGUGUAAUGGACCACCAAGGCAAAGACGGGUAGCUGAUCUGAGAGGAUGAUCAGCCACACUGGGACUGAGACACGGCCCAGACUCCUACGGGAGGCAGCAGUAAGGAAUAUUGGUCAAUGCCCGCAAGGGUGAACCAGCCAUUCCGCGUGGAGGAUGAAGGCCCUAUGGGUUGUAAACUUCUUUUAGAUGGGAAGAAAAUGCUAGAUGUAUCUGGUACUGACGGUACCAUCAGAAUAAGCACCGGCUAACUCCGUGCCAGC
rnacentral:rRNA from 1 species